rnacentral:rRNA from 1 species
AGUGAACGCUGGCGGUAGGCCUAACACAUGCAAGUCGAACGGCAGCACAGUAAGAGCUUGCUCUUACGGGUGGCGAGUGGCGGACGGGUGAGGAAUACAUCGGACUCUACUUUUUCGUGGGGGAUAACGUAGGGAAACUUACGCUAAUACCGCAUACGACCUACGGGUGAAAGCAGGGGAUCUUCGGACCUUGCGCGAUUGAAUGAGCCGAUGUCGGAUUAGCUAGUUGGCGGGGUAAAGGCCCACCAAGGCGACGAUCCGUAGCUGGUCUGAGAGGAUGAUCAGCCACACUGGAACUGAGACACGGUCCAGACUCCUACGGGAGGCAGCAGUGGGGAAUAUUGGACAAUGGGCGCAAGCCUGAUCCAGCCAUACCGCGUGGGUGAAGAAGGCCUUCGGGUUGUAAAGCCCUUUUGUUGGGAAAGAAAAGCAGCAGGUUAAUACCCCGCUGUUCUGACGGUACCAAAAGAAUAAGCACCGGCUAACUUCGUG